GUAAAUCCUAAGCGAGCCUGUGGUAGUGAGAGUCAGGUGAUUGAGAGAUGAGUGUGGCGCUUUUUGGUAUAUUUUUUAUAAAUAAUGAAGUAAUAAAUUAGGGUGGAACCGCGUUUCUGACG
rnacentral:sRNA from 1 species